rnacentral:tRNA from 1 species
CGGCCCCUAGCUCAACGGCAGAGCGACCGUCUUAUACACGGUUGGUUCCUGGUUCGAGUCCAGGGGGGCCGACCA